GGGGCAGAGUCUGACUCUGCGGCGCUGGGCGUGCAAGUCCAGCGACUCCUCCCCGGAGCCUCACCGGCGCCGGACUCUGCCCUGGGCGUUCCCCGCGGGGCGGAGUCAAACCUGUGGGCGGUGGCGGCUGCGCUCGCAGGGCCCUGGCAGCCGGCCCUGGCCCCAAGGCCUGAUCGCCCAGGGGAGGAGCAGCACUGGGACCCCGCGCCUGCUAGGCGCCCCCAAAGCCUUACAGUGAUGAUUUUACACCAAGUAUCUCCUGAGAGUUAUUCACCAUCUACAGAAAUUCAUCUUUAUUGUUCUCACUUUCAUAUACUCCAGGGAUCAGGAUCAGGAUGGAGACAUUCAUCAUGCUAUGUUGGUUCAUAAAGAGGAAGAAAGCUUGAUCAGUAUUGAGCUGUAAAUGCUUGCUAUUUAUUUUGAUGAGGUCACUUAUAUUGUUGUGAUGUGAUACAGAAACUUUGUUUUAUCCAAAAUGAGAAGCUGCCUCUGACACUUCUAUCUUUCUAUUAACACCUGGAUUUUGGUAGGAUGCUGCUCUUGGAUAAGUCAAACAUCUUCAUGGUGUGGGAGGGUGGGCAAAGGUGGUGAUGAAAAGUAGGGUCAUGACAGAGCGUGGUGGGUGGCUCACGCCCAUAAUCCCAGUACUUUGGGAGGCUGAGGUGGGUGGAUCACCUGAGGUCAGGAGUUUGAUACCAGCAUGGGCAACACGGUGAAACCAUGUCUCUACGAAAAAUACAAAAAUUAGCUGGGUGUGGUGACAUGUACCUGUAGUUCCAGCUACUUGGGAGGCUGAAAUAGGAGAUUGCUUGAACCUUAAACCUGGGAGGCGGAGGUUGCAGUAAGCCGAGAUUGCACCACUCCACUCCAGAUUGAGUGACAGAGGGAGACUCUGUCUCAAAAAAACAAAAUAAAGAAAGAAAAUUAUGGUCCUGGCUGUUUCAGGCCCUGCAUAAGUAGACAUUUUCAUCAUUGAUCCAACAGUGUAUGUGCAGAUGGACAAAUAUGAAGAAUGAAAACAUUGUGCAUCUAGAAAGCUAUUAGAAAAGCAAUGAGUAGAUGAGAGGAAAGUUCUAGGUUCAUGAAUUAUAGUUAAAGCUUGUUGCAAAUAUUCUAUUUCUUAGGUAUUAAUAUAUAUUUCCUUCUACUUUAUCACCUUU
rnacentral:lncRNA from 1 species